rnacentral:rRNA from 1 species
UACGGAGGGAGCUAGCGUUGUUCGGAAUUACUGGGCGUAAAGCGCGCGUAGGCGGCUAUUCAAGUCAGGGGUGAAAUCCCGGGGCUCGACCCCGGAACUGCCUUUGAAACUGGGUAGCUAGAAUCCUGGAGAGGCGAGUGGAAUUCCGAGUGUAGAGGUGAAAUUCGUAGAUAUUCGGAAGAACACCAGUGGCGAAGGCGACUCGCUGGACAGGCAUUGACGCUGAGGUGCGAAAGCGUGGGGAGCAAACAGG